GAAAAAUAUCAGAAAGUAGUGUCUGUAAAAAAGAACAACCGACAGAUAGAUCUCUCCAUCCAAAGCGAUGAUUCUGAAAAAACUCAAGAAAGAAAAACAAUAGGAUUGAGAAGUUAAAGGAUCAAAUUUUUCCAGAAAGAGAUCUUUCAAACAUGCAUUCUCUUCACAAUCGAUUCGUUCAAAGCAAGGUUUAACUACAGAUGAAGUUCACCUUUUCACAUAAUCCGACAAAAUAGAAGAGUUUCAUACUGCAAAGUCAGAGGAUGACUGAAGUCUCACACUAUAAAGAUAAGUGUUCUCUUAUAACAUAGAUUCUUUCUGUACUUUUGGAGCUUUUAGUAUAUUUUCUCUCUGAUUUUCUUAUAUUAUGCGUUUUCUAAUGAAUUUGUUUUAAAUGUUCUUCAUGGAAGUCCUGUAGUUGGAUAAAAUACAACAAAGUGGGAGCAAGUACGAAGUCUCAAACACUAAAGAUAAGUUUUCUCUUUUGUCUAUUGUCUUGAAGUUCUCGAUCAGUCACAUUAUUAACGAUUGCAGCAUAUAUUAAAUGUUACAAUACUAAUAUGGUAUUUUGUAUUAUAGUUCCCAGACGUUGUAUGGUGGAAUUCCAUAUUCUUUUCAAUCAUGAGCAACGGAAGAAGUGGUUAACAACAUAUACAGCACCAAAGCGUAUUCAGCAGAUCUUCUUAAACGCAGUUUUCUAAAGGGGAGUCCACAAAGAUCAAUACAAAUGAAAAAGAUUGUAAACUUCAGGAAUUACCAAGUUUUGUCAUCUAAAGAGUGAAAAAAUCGAAACUGACUGAAGGAAUUACCAUGAAAUAGGACCGAAGAUGUGUAUCCAUACACUUAGAAGAUUAGUGUUUUACUCAAGACAGUUUAAUACAGAGAUGGCAUGAAAGAUAAUAAAUCCAAAUCAUGAAGGAUAAACGUAUGUACCACUUUGGCUUGGAUCAACAAUGUCGUUUUCCAUGGCCUAAUAUCAUCAAGUUUUAAUGUUGAAGCUUGCAGUAUCCAAAAUUUGUGAGGAGACACCUAGCAAAUUUAAAUGUUUAAGCGUCAAUGUUGAUGGAAGGAACAUGAUGAUCUUCUUUUUUUUUUGUGAACAUGAUGAUCUAGAUUUCAAUAUACAAAAAAUUGUUACAUAUUCUGCUAAUGAUAAUCAGUGUGUUUAAGCUAUUCUUGUGAUGGUUUAAGAAAAAAAAGGUACAACUUUGAUAUGUUUAGUUUUCAAACCGUCGCAUAGUAGAUGCGUAGCUAUGGUUAAUUAACUUAACUAAAAAGAGAAAAGUAUUAAAAAAAUAAUGACCUGUUGAAUUAAAAUGAUUAUGUAAAUAAAAUCAUAGGUUUUGUAUUAGCCAGUGGCAGUUACAUGUAAAUAUUGUUAAAACAGAAGGGCACCUCAAAAAAAGGCCUUCUGUUUUAAUAGUAUUGAUAUCCUUCAAUUAACUUAAUUAAUCUUAAUAUUUUGUAAUUGAUUUAAGUUUUAUUAAAAAGGGAAAAAUAAAAACAGAAAAAAGAAUAUUAAUAGAAAUCCACGAAAGAGUUAAAACAAUUCGUUUAACCCUAAUUUCUUUUUCCCUUUAAUCUUCUUCUCCAACGUACCUUCAACCCCUAUCAAUGGUGAUUUAAGGUUCUUCUGUCUAUAUGUUCAUUGCUGACAGAUCCAAACCCUGAUGAUCCUUUGGUUCCAGAAAUAGCUCACACCUACAAGACAGACCGGUGUCAAGUACGAGAGCACUGCCCGAUCGUGGACCCAGAAGUAUGCAAUGGGACAAUGAUGAUUGUCAAUAAUAAUCUCACAAGUACAUUGGGCAUUGUCUAAGAAUAUGAGAAAUAAGAUCGAAAAAAACUGAAUGUGGUGUUUGCUUGGUUGCUUUAUUAGUUCUAUCAUCUUAAUCAGUGUGUUGGUGUACAUGAGCUUUAUAUUGAGACAUUUUGAGAACUUGCAAUGCUUUAAAGCCAAUAAUUGGCUAUUAUGAUUAUGAUGAGUCAGUAUUAACGACA